rnacentral:rRNA from 1 species
UAGCGACAGGCUUAACACAUGCAAGUCGAGGGGCAGCGGGGGUAGCGAUACCCGCCGGCGACCGGCGCACGGGUGAGUAACGCGUAUGCAACUUGCCUAUCAGAGGGGGAUAACCCGGCGAAAGUCGGACUAAUACCGCAUGAAGCAGGGGCCCCGCAUGGGGAUAUUUGCUAAAGAUUCAUCGCUGAUAGAUAGGCAUGCGUUCCAUUAGGCAGUUGGCGGGGUAACGGCCCACCAAACCGACCAUGGAUAGGGGUUCUGAGAGGAAGGUCCCCCACAUUGGUACUGAGACACGGACCAAACUCCUACGGGAGGCAGCAGUGAGGAAUAUUGGUCAAUGGCCGAGAGGCUGAACCAGCCAAGUCGCGUGAGGGAUGAAGGUUCUAUGGAUCGUAAACCUCUUUUAUAAGGGAAUAAAGUGCGGGACGUGUCCCGUUUUGUAUGUACCUUAUGAAUAAGGAUCGGCUAACUCCGUGCCAGCAGCCGCGGUAAUACGGAGGAUCCGAGCGUUAUCCGGAUUUAUUGGGUUUAAAGGGUGCGUAGGCGGCCUUUUAAGUCAGCGGUGAAAGUCUGUGGCUCAACCAUAGAAUUUGCCGUUGAAACUGGGGGGCUUGAGUAUGUUUGAGGCAGGCGGAAUGCGUGGUGUAGCGGUGAAAUGCAUAGAUAUCACGCAGAACCCCGAUUGCGAAGGCAGCCUGCCAAGCCAUGACUGACGCUGAUGCACGAAAGCGUGGGGAUCAAACAGGAUUAGAUACCCUGGUAGUCCACGCAGUAAACGAUGAUCACUAGCUGUUUGCGAUACACUGUAAGCGGCACAGCGAAAGCGUUAAGUGAUCCACCUGGGGAGUACGCCGGCAACGGUGAAACUCAAAGGAAUUGACGGGGGCCCGCACAAGCGGAGGAACAUGUGGUUUAAUUCGAUGAUACGCGAGGAACCUUACCCGGGUUUGAACGCAUUCGGACCGAGGUGGAAACACCUUUUCUAGCAAUAGCCGUUUGCGAGGUGCUGCAUGGUUGUCGUCAGCUCGUGCCGUGAGGUGUCGGCUUAAGUGCCAUAACGAGCGCAACCCUUGCCACUAGUUACUAACAGGUAAAGCUGAGGACUCUGGUGGGACUGCCAGCGUAAGCUGCGAGGAAGGCGGGGAUGACGUCAAAUCAGCACGGCCCUUACAUCCGGGGCGACACACGUGUUACAAUGGCGUGGACAAAGGGAGGCCACCUGGCGACAGGGAGCGAAUCCCCAAACCACGUCUCAGUUCGGAUCGGAGUCUGCAACCCGACUCCGUGAAGCUGGAUUCGCUAGUAAUCGCGCAUCAGCCAUGGCGCGGUGAAUACGUUCCCGGGCCUUGUACACACCGCCCGUCAAGCCAUGGGAGCCGGGGGUACCUGAAGUCCGUAACCGAAAGGAUCGGCCUAGGGUAAAACUGGUGACU